CCUACGGGAGGCUGCAGUGAGGAAUAUUGGUCAAUGGACGCAAGUCUGAACCAGCCAUGCCGCGUGCAGGAAGACGGCCCUACGGGUUGUAAACCUCUUUUGUCGGGGAGCAAAGCGAGUCACGUGUGACUCAUUGAGAGUACCCGAAGAAAAAGCAUCGGCUAACUCCGUGCCAGCAGCCGCGGUAAUACGGAGGAUGCGAGCGUUAUCCGGAUUUAUUGGGUUUAAAGGGUGCGCAGGCGGAGGUGCAAGUCAGCGGCCAAAUUGCGGGGCUCAACCCGGGCCUUGCAGCGCGAACUGGCGUGCUUGAGUCCGCGGAAAGCAGGCGGAAUUCGUCGUGUAGCGGUGAAAUGCUUAGAUAUGACGAAGAACCCCGAUUGCGAAGGCAGCUUGCUGCAGCGGAACUGACGCUGAUGCUCGAAAGCGCGGGUAUCGAACAGGAUUAGAUACCCGGGUAGUC
rnacentral:rRNA from 1 species